UACGUAGGGCGCAAGCGUUGUCCGGAAUUAUUGGGCGUAAAGAGCUCGUAGGCGGCCUGUUGCGUCCGCUGUGAAAUCCCGGGGCUCAACCCCGGGCCUGCAGUGGAUACGGGCUGGCUAGAGGCAGGCAGGGGAGAACGGAAUUCCUGGUGUAGCGGUGAAAUGCGCAGAUAUCAGGAGGAACACCGGUGGCGAAGGUGGUUCUCUGGGCCUGUACUGACGCUGAGGAGCGAAAGCGUGGGGAGCGAACAGG
rnacentral:rRNA from 1 species